GUUAAAAAGCUGUAUUUUGCAGAAAAGAAGAUUCUUGUACAAACUGAAUAAAGAGACUGAUGACGCUUGCAACGUAAUGUUGUGCAGGGCUGCACAACUUUGGCCCUCCAGGUGUUUUUUGGGACUACAACUCCUAUCAUCCCCAGGCACACUGGCCAGUAGUCAGCAACGGUGGAAGCUGCAGUCCAACAUCUGCAGGAGGGCUGAAGUUGUGCAACCCUGAUGUACCAUAAGGUGGAAUAUGGCCUAGAUUACGGAAUUCUCAGAUUGAUGAGUCUUCUUUUCGGCUUCCUGAGGGAUUUCUUCGUCCUCUUCGGGUAUAAGGGUGUACUUUGUGCCUCCUGGCUGCAUGAAGCAUUCUUUUGCAAAAUGACCUUUGAGACAAUAUUAAACACAAGAACUGUAAGAAACUUUUGGUUAGUUUUGCUAAGCAAAUCGGGCAUUUCCAGCAUGUUGAAUAUUGCAAGUUCUAUAUAUAAAAUUCAAGUAACCAGGGCUACAUCAAGUUGGGAGGACAUUUUUGCUCCAAGUAUACUGAGUAUUUAAACAAGGAGGCAGGAAACUGGUUUUUGCUAUUAAGUGUGAUUACUGGUGAAGAUGUAAGUUUGGGGCAGUAUAAAAAUAUGUUAAAUAAAUAAUAAAUAAAAUAAAUGUAUGCUUUGGAUUACGGA